GCGGAAUUAGUUUAAUGGUAGAACACAACCUUCCCAAGGUUGAAGUGCGGGUCCGAUUCCCGUAUUCCGCUCCA
rnacentral:tRNA from 1 species